rnacentral:rRNA from 1 species
CAAAAAUGGGGAUUAAUUUUUACACUAAAAAUUUUAAUUUUUUAAAUUUUUAAUAUUUAUUACUGCCCCUAAAAAUUAAUUUUUUUUUAAAAAAUUAAAAUUUACCCCCAAAAUUUAUAGGGAAAAAAAGGGUAUAAAAAAUUUUUCAAACCCUAAGAAAAUUUUAUUU